rnacentral:rRNA from 1 species
ACAUGCAGUCGAACGCUGAAGCACCAGCUUGCUGGUGUGGAUGAGUGGCGAACGGGUGAGUAAUACGUGAGUAACCUGCCCUUGACUCUGGGAUAAGCCCGGGAAACUGGGUCUAAUACUGGAUGCUACAUGUCACCGCAUGGUGGUGUGUGGAAAGGGUUUACUGGUCUUGGAUGGGCUCACGGCCUAUCAGCUUGUUGGUGAGGUAAUGGCUCACCAAGGCGACGACGGGUAGCCGGCCUGAGAGGGUGACCGGCCACACUGGGACUGAGACACGGCCCAGACUCCUACGGGAGGCAGCAGUGGGGAAUAUUGCACAAUGGGCGAAAGCCUGAUGCAGCGACGCCGCGUGAGGGAUGACGGCCUUCGGGUUGUAAACCUCUUUCAGCAGGGAAGAAGCCACAAGUGACGGUACCUGCAGAAGAAGCGCCGGCUAA